CUGGCGGCCGUGCCUAAUACAUGCAAGUCGAACGGUCUUUCUAUGGAAGCUUGCUUCCACUGAGAAGAUAGUGGCGAACGGGUGAGUAACACGUGGGUAACCUGCCCAUAAGAGGGGGAGUAACAUCCGGAAACGGGUGCUAAUACCGCAUAGUUUUCUUGAUCGCAUGAUCGGGAAAGGAAAGACGGCCUUUGUGCUGUCGCUUAUGGAUGGACCCGCGGCGUAUUAGUUAGUUGGUGAGGUAAUGGCUCACCAAGACGAUGAUACGUAGCCGACCUGAGAGGGUGAUCGGCCACAUUGGGACUGAGACACGGCCCAAACUCCUACGGGAGGCAGCAGUAGGGAAUCUUCCGCAAUGGACGAAAGUCUGACGGAGCAACGCCGCGUGAGUGAAGAAGGUUUUCGGGAAUCGUAAAACUCUGUUGUCAGAGAAGAACAAGUUGGAGAGUAACUGCUCCAGCCUUGACGGUAUCUGACCAGAAAGCCACGGCUAACUACGUGCCAGCAGCUGC
rnacentral:rRNA from 1 species